UACAGAGGGGGCAAGCGUUUGUUCGGAAUUACUGGGCGUAAAGGGCGCGUAGGUGGCCUUCUAAGUUGAACGUGAAAUCCCUGGGCUCAACCCAGGAACUGCGUCCAAGACUGGGAGGCUUGAAUCCGGGAGAGGUGAGUGGAAUUCCCAGUGUAGCGGUGAAAUGCGUAGAUAUCGAGAGGAACACCUGCGGCGAAGGCGGGUUGCUGGGCUGACACUGACGCUGAGGCGCGAAAGCCAGGGGAGCGAACGGG
rnacentral:rRNA from 1 species